rnacentral:misc_RNA from 1 species
AGUUAAACAGUACGUGAAAUUGUUGAAAGGGAAACGAUUAAAGUCAGUCGUACCUACGAGUAAUCAACCUACACGAGCGCGAUUUUGUGGGUAUGAAGAGGUAAAAACCUUCAUGGUUGCAAAUUGGUGUUCUUUGGGCGUACUUUCUCGUAUGGUAGGUUAACAUUAAUUUCGAUCGUUAUAAAAUGACGGGAGGAAUGUAGCUUCGACUUCGGUUGAAGUGUUAUAGCCUCUGGUAGAUGUAAUGAUUGGGAUUGAGGAUUGCAACGGAUACCCUCUGGGCUAUUCGUCUGAUCUCUGGAAGUUACCUUGGUGUCGAAAGCGUGCUUAUGACAUUAAGAAUGACGGCCAAAAGGUUAGAACGGAAUUAAAUUCGUUAAGGAUGUUGACGUAAUGGCUUUAAA